AUGUUAAACUCUAUUUCUGGCGAAAGGCAUGAAGAAAUAAACUGUCUUGCGAAGUUUCAGGAGAUCUUGAAGAGUCAUGCCAACUCAAAGAGACUUUUAAUUAUUUUAGAUGAUGUUUGGGAUGACAUGAACAGUAAUAUCCAAUGGGAUAAAAUGUUGGCUCCUCUGGUAUCAAAUCAUGUGAAGGGUAAUGUGAUUCUAGUCACAACUAGAAAUAUGUCUGUUGCACAACGGUUAGGCACCCUCAAACCGGUCAAGUUAGGUGCUCUGGCAAAUGAUGACUUCUGGUUAUUGUUCAAAUCACGUGCGUUCGGUUAUGAGAACUGUGAGGAGCAUCAAAGUCUAAGUAUCAUCGGUCGGCAAAUAGCUGAGAAGUUAAAGGGCAACCCACUAGCAGCUGUCUCUACAGGAGACCUAUUAAGGAAGAAACUUAACACCGAUUAUUGGAGAAACAUUCUAAAGUAUGAAGACUGGAAAUCCAUGCAGCUCAGAGGAGGAAUUAUGGCUGCUCUGAAGCUUAGCUAUGAUCAACUUCCCUACCAUUUACAGCAAUGUUUCUCAUAUUGCUCCAUAUUCCCCGACAGUUAUCAGUUUCUUGGUGAGGACUUGGUUGGUUUUUGGAUUUCACAGGGAUUUGUAAACUGUAGCAACUCUAGCCAGAGAUUGGAGGAUAUAGGGCAGUGCUAUCUGAUUGAUUUGGUUAACCUGGGCUUCUUUGAAGAAGUUAAAAGAGAAGAACCCUAUCUAGGCAGUCAAGUUCUUUAUGCCAUAUGCGGUCUCAUGCAUGAUUUUGUGGUGAUGGUUUCAAGGACCGACUGUGCAAGUAUAGAUGGUCUGCAGUGCAACAAAAUGCCUCAAACUAUACGACAUUUGUCAAUAGUAACUGGUUCUGCAUAUAACAAAGAUCAGCAUGGGAACAUUCCUCGUGAUGAGAAGUUUGAAGAAAUUCUGAGAAAUGCAAUUACAUCAGUUAGCAGAUUGAGGACAUUGGUGUUACUUGGGCAUUAUGACUCUUCAUUCUUAAGAGUGUUCCAAGAUAAAUUCAAAGAGGCACAUAAUUUACGCCUGCUGCACAUGUCUGCAAGAUCCGCUGAUUUUCGAAAACGUGCGUCUGAUGAGGUGGACGGGGCUUUCCCUCAAGUUUUGAGCAAGUUGUACCAUCUUCAAGUAUUAGAUGUGGGGUCAUACACUGAUCCUAAUAUACCUGAUGGUAUUAAUAAUCUUGUUAGCCUACGGAAUCUUGUUGUACACAAGGGGUUGUACUCUUCCAUUGCUACCAUUGGUAACAUGACAUCUCUUGAGGAGCUACAUGGUCUUAAGUUUCAAAUUACUAGCAACUUUGAGAUAACACAGCCACAAUCCAUGAGCGAGCUUGUACAAGAUUGGGUACAUCAACUAGAUAAUGUUAAAACUCUGAAGGAGGUUUAUGAGGCAGCCCAGAAAAAAAACGAACUCUUAGAAAAACUGCAUUUAUCCUGGAAGGAAUCUCCUGAGGAAACAUGCGUGGAGCUCUUGCAAAUGGAUGUAAGUGGCCUAAGUUCUGAGCUGUCUAUGGACACAGAAAGAGAGGUGCUUGAGGGUCUUCAGCCAGAUCGGCACUUAGAGAUUCUCCAAAUAUCUGGGUACAGUAAUGCUACCUCACCCACUGGGCUUGCCAGCAAUAUCUCAUUUACCUCCUUGCUGACGCUUCAGCUAUACAAUUGUGGAGAGUGGAAAACACUUCCAUCUCUAAGAAGGUUUACGUUUCUGACAAAGCUAAAGUUGAGCAACCUGCAGAAAGUAAAAGAUGUAUUGGUUCCUUCACUGGAGGAGCUAAUUUUAGUUGAAAUGCCGAAGUUGGAGAAAUUAUCAUGCACUUCUGUGGAAGGUAUGAGCUCUAGCCUAAGAGCACUGCAGAUCGAGGAUUGUCAGGCACUAAAGGAGUUUGAUCUGUUUGAGGACAAUGAUAAUUUCGGAACUGAGCAGAGGUCAUGGUUGUGUGGUCUUAGGAUAUUAAUUCUGAGUGAUUGCCCACAUUUGAAAGUGUUGAAGCCUCUUCCACCCUCACCCGCCUGUUCUGACUUGCGCAUCAGUGGGGUUUCAACACUUCCGUAUAGUAUGAAGGGAUCAUCUAGUGAAAAGUUAUGUAUUGGGAAUUUUGAUAAGGAUAAGACGAUGGCUUGGUUGAAUCUUUUGAUGAGCUGA
rnacentral:rRNA from 1 species